UACUUCCACUGCAGUGUUGUGAUAUGUGAUUCAAACCGGCCAUCAGACAGCCUCUGUAGCAGACGGUGCAUUCCAGGGAAACAGAGGCUUGGUCGCAGUGCUGAAGGGAUGGAUGGUGGUGCAGUAAAAACAUUUGUGUCUUCUGGCCCAAUUGAGCUGAAGAGAGAUGGAUCCCUUCACUUUAUGCCUAGAAGCGGCCAAUUCAAUGUGUGGUCCCUUCUGGGAGCUGCAAUGGGUGUGUGUUCAGUGGUUGUCUUUGUAGCUGGAGUUGUAUAUUUUUGGAAAAUGCCAAAAAGUGUGUAUUGAUAAAUAAAA